rfam:Gossypium raimondii Chr02_contig_573, whole genome shotgun sequence.
AAUCCAAGUAUAGGAAAUUUCCUAAGCAAAUCUUUGAACCUUUCCAAUACUUCAUAUAGUGUUUCAUCCUCUAGUUGCUUGAAGGAUGUUAUGUCAUUUCUUAGUUU